UACGUAGGGUGCAAGCGUUAAUCGGAAUUACUGGGCGUAAAGCGUGCGCAGGCGGUUGUGCAAGACAGGGGUGAAAUCCCCGGGCUUAACCUGGGAACUGCACUUGUGACUGCACGGCUGGAGUACGGCAGAGGGGGAUGGAAUUCCGCGUGUAGCAGUGAAAUGCGUAGAUAUGCGGAGGAACACCGAUGGCGAAGGCAGUCCCCUGGGCCUGUACUGACGCUCAUGCACGAAAGCGUGGGGAGCAAACAGG
rnacentral:rRNA from 1 species